AGAUAAGUUCCUGCAAAUUUCCAGCAUUUCCUGCAAAUUCAACAUUUCCUGCAAAUUCAACAUUUCCUGCAAACUGCAGCAGCUCUGGCACUUACAGCAGCACAGACUUACCUGGUUGGCUUUGCUCUGUGCCACUGCUGGCCUGUACUUCUGAACUGAAAGCGAAAAUGCAGUUUCUCAUGACACCAGGUUGCAUUAAGUGUGGGAGGAGCCAGUGAAAUGGGUUUUUCUCUGAGGUCCAUUGACUUCUCGUUUCCUUUGGAAGAGGAGCUGAAUGAUUUGGGAUCUGGAAAAGUUGCACAGGCACUUGGAGAAGGGAAGAGGCAUGAAGGCAUCCUUGGACACAAACAGCUUCUGAGGGAGAAGACUGAGGAGAGAGAAGCUUGCCCUGGCACUGUGGAGGAUCUGGGAGGAUCUGGGCAGCCCCAUGGACUCUCCCCAUCUCCUGCACUUGGGUUUCCUGCUCCUGGCUCUUGCUGCUCCCCGUCCAAAUAUUGCCAUGUCCAGUGUUGGCCCUGCUGACAGGUCACAAGGCAGAAUUACGACAAUCUACUACUGCAAGGACUAUAAAUACUGCACAUGCAAGAAAGACCAAAACGAUUUAAAAAAUUUUACAAGAAUUGCUGAAAUACAAAACAAGAGAAAUACUAUGUCAGAUGUACCAGUUGAGUUGGUGAACAACAAAUCACACAUCACUGUUUGCUUUGAGAAUGCAGAUUCCUCUCCUGAAGGAAUGUAUGGCCUCUACUCAGAUGAAACAGGUCAACCAAAAAUCUGGUGUGGCAACCUGAAUUCUGGAGGAAAUGGAGGAGGUAACAUCAAUACUGAGGAGAAGAAUGUUUGCUGUGAAGCAGAGGCAGUUGCCUGGAAUCACAACUCUCACCUGAACUGCUACAUUCAAAAAUCACACCCAAAACCCACAUCACUGCCAAUUGCCAUUCCUGAGGAAAUUCUAGGUAAUGCUGAAUUUCUCACCAGCAAGAGCAGCCUUGGCAUCUUGUUGGCAUUCCUGUUUGCUGGGGUUUGCGCAGGAUGGGGCACCAUGUUUUACUUCUUGCGGUUGCGGCGUCGCCAAGCUUUUAAGCAAGACAGACAGUCUUCUGACAGAGAAAAGCUCACACAUUCAUGAUAACCAUAUCAAGGGAGAAAACCUCUGCCAGCAGCAUCCUCCUCCUCUCUCACGAUGCACAGCGACCAGCAGAACACAGACUGAUUUUCCAUGAGACCUCCUGCUGUAGUAUCCCAAAUUGUCCUGUUUUCACAAAUGUAGCUUCACCACAUCCACACCUUCCCUGAGCACAAUGACUCUUGUCCAGCUCCAGGCCUUUGUGAGCAGCACAGGCAGCACCAGGACCCCCAUCCUCUGCUGGUACUUGGCUGCAGAGAGUAGACACCCCAGGGUGUGGGGCUGACAGCAGCACAGGCUGACAGCAGCUGAAUUCUCUCUGUGACAAAGUGGGGACAGCUCUGGAGCACUUCCCAUGCCCUCUGCACACCUUUCACUUUGGAAUGCCACAGCAGCACCCAGGUGCCUGUAUUGUUUUAAUUCUCAGGUCAUCUCUGCAUUCACCAAAGCUUUUCCACCACCAGCUGACUGGUAGGUUGAACUGGAAAAGCUGGGAUGAGAUAUUUGGUUUUGCCCCCACCUGCAGACUGAGUCUGAAUGUUUGUUCCUGUGCAGGGCUGGGAGGGAGGUUGUGUCCAGCUGCCUCAGGAAUGGCAUUGGGUCACAGAGGCCUUGGUCUCCCCCCAGACUGCACAGAACUCUGGCAUCAAUCUUCCUCACAAAUUAGCCAGUUUAGACAGAGUGAGAUGAGUACAGCCCCUCAGGAAUCCCACUGGGUACUUGGUAUCCUUAAAUCAUUCCCCAUUCCCACUUGAUUUGAGUAAAUCCUCAGCUUUUGCAUUGGAUCUAAUUUAGUAUCAAGACUGUUGAUCAAAAAUCAGUGGCAGCACAAGGGAAGAAGCAAAUCCCUAAAGCAAUGUGAAUGUUUGCUGAAUCAGUGUAAUUUUGUCCUUAAACACAAGCACACACAGGGACAGCUCUUGGCUCAUUUCUGCUUUGAUUGACUGGAUUUUGUAGCUUGUUUUUCCCUCAAUUGCCUUAACCAUCCAGUCAGUAGCAGAGU
rnacentral:lncRNA from 1 species